rnacentral:rRNA from 1 species
GAUGAACGCUGGCGGCGUGCCUAAUACAUGCAAGUCGAGCGAACAGAUAAGGAGCUUGCUCCUUUGACGUUAGCGGCGGACGGGUGAGUAACACGUGGGUAACCUACCUAUAAGACUGGAAUAACUCCGGGAAACCGGGGCUAAUGCCGGAUAACAUUUAGAACCGCAUGGUUCUAAAGUGAAAGAUGGUUUUGCUAUCACUUAUAGAUGGACCCGCGCCGUAUUAGCUAGCUGGUAAGGUAACGGCUUACCAAGGCAACGAUACGUAGCCGACCUGAGAGGGUGAUCGGCCACACUGGAACUGAGACGCGGUCCAGACUCCUACGGGAGGCAGCAGUAGGGAAUCUUCCGCAAUGGGCGAAAGCCUGACGGAGCAACGCCGCGUGAGUGAUGAAGGUCUUCGGAUCGUAAAACUCUGUUAUUAGGGAAGAACAAAUGUGUAAGUAACUGUGCACGUCUUGACGGUACCUAAUCAGAAAGCCACGGCUAACUACGUG